rnacentral:rRNA from 1 species
UACGUAGGCAGCAAGCGUUUGUUCGGAGUUACUGGGCGUAAAGAGUCUGUAGGCGGUGCUCUAAGUUUGGUGUGAAAUCUCCCGGCUUAACCGGGAGGGUGCGCCGAAGACUGGGGUGCUGGAGUCUGGGAGAGGAAAGCGGAAUUCCUGGUGUAGCGGUGAAAUGCGUAGAUAUCAGGAGGAACACCGGUGGUGUAGACGGCUUUCUGGACCAGUACUGACGCUGAGGCACGAAAGCGUGGGGAUCAAACAGG